AAAAAAAUGAAAUAACACGAGAAUGGCCCUGAAGGAGUUGAUGGCCUGGGAGGGAGGUGGUACACCCAAGUAAAUGUGAGAUGACAGCUGCGUAUAAGCUCCAUGGACGUGAGAAAAGGGGGAGCAGUGGAGGUGGGCUUUAGAGCUAUGCCACCUUGAGAAACGCAUUUCUGGCCAAGAGGAAAGAUCACAAAGGCCUGGGAGAAGGAAUCGUCUUAGAAGAAACCCUCCAGCUCCUACCUGUUACCUUGUGCAGAUAGAAAGGUCCUCAGGAGUCCAUCAGGGGGACAGAUGAAGACUGCUCGGCAGGAAGCUGGUGGAAACUUCUAAGAUCCACUCCAGUCGGGCUUCUACAUCACUCCACGGAAACUGCUCCUCAGGGUAACAGUGGUCCCCAUGUG
rnacentral:lncRNA from 1 species